rfam:Populus trichocarpa scaffold_1_contig_424, whole genome shotgun sequence.
UCUAGAACUCGAGAUAUGGGCUGAACACUGAAUAGUGUCUGGGCUGUAGGACAGAUUCCGACUUCUCCGUUAUUGCUAAGAUUUGGACUUCCAAACAGUAGAAUUGAGUCUUGGACUCCAUAAAUGUUUUAGGCCUACGUCUUAGCUUUCUAGC